rnacentral:rRNA from 1 species
AGAGUGAACGCUGGCGGUAGGCCUAACACAUGCAAGUCGAACGGCAGCACAGUAGGAGCUUGCUCUUACGGGUGGCGAGUGGCGGACGGGUGAGGAAUACAUCGGAAUCUACCUUUUGGUGGGGGAUAACGUAGGGAAACUUACGCUAAUACCGCAUACGCCCUUCGGGGGAAAGCCGGGGACCAGCAAUGGCCUGGCGCUGAUAGAUGAGCCGAUGUCGGAUUAGCUAGUUGGUGAGGUAAUGGCUCACCAAGGCGACGAUCCGUAGCUGGUCUGAGAGGAUGAUCAGCCACACUGGAACUGAGACACGGUCCAGACUCCGUACGGGAGCAGCA